UACGUAGGGUGCGAGCGUUGUCCGGAAUUAUUGGGCGUAAAGGGCUCGUAGGCGGUUUGUCGCGUCGGGAGUGAAAUCCACUGGCUUAACUGGUGGCUUGCUUUCGAUACGGGCAGACUGGAGGUAUGCAGGGGAGAACGGAAUUCCUGGUGUAGCGGUGAAAUGCGCAGAUAUCAGGAGGAACACCGGUGGCGAAAGCGGCUUCCUGGUCCAGCACCGACGUUCAGGCACGAAAGCGUGGGGAGCAAACAGG
rnacentral:rRNA from 1 species